AGUGAACGCUGGCGGUGGGCUUAACACAUGCAAGUCGAACGGCAGCACAGUAAGAUUUUGCUCUUCCCGGUUGCCAAUGGCGGACGGGUGAGGUAUAUAUCCGAAUCUACUUUUUCGUGUGGGUUCACGUAGCUAAACUUACUCUCAUACCGCAUCCCCCCCACCGGUGAAAGCAGUGGAUCUUUUGACCUUGCGCGGUUGAAUGAGCCGCUGCGGGAGUGGCUGGUGGGGGGGCUAAUGGCCCACGCAGUGGGCGAUCGGUUGCUGGUCUGAGAGAAUGGUCGGCCACAUGGGAACUGAGACAGCGUCAAGACUCCUGCGGGAGGCAGCAGUGGGGAAUGUUGGGCAAUGGGCGCAAGCCUGAUACAGCGGUACCGCGUGGGUGAAGGAGACCUUCGGGUUGUAAAGCCCUUUUGUUGGGAGAGAAAAGCAGCAGGUUGAUACCCCGCUGUUGUGACGGUACCCAAUGAAUAAGCACCGGCUAACUACGUG
rnacentral:rRNA from 1 species